GCAGUUACCUGACAUGCACUGUGGCGAUUUCUGUGUCAUUUUCAUUGUGGGCAACCCACCUGGCAGGUCUCACCCCAGUCAGUCUCUGAGCGCUGAGAAGGGUAGAGCCGGGAGGGAGCAUCUUUCACCCCUAGAGGCUACGGACCCUGUGGAACUUCCCUUGAGAGCCAUAGGCCACCUGCUCUCCAUUGGGACGGCUUCUCGGUUAAGGAGAGCGACCGGGGCAGCACUUAAUGAGAGGAAGAGUCCAAAUAGUUUGACAGACUAUAUACAGGGAUCACUUCAUUCUGUAACCUGAACAGUUCCCAAGUAUUCCUUUGUGCUGUGUGAAGACCCCCACCUUCCACCCCAGAGAUGGCUGCAAUGCUGCGGUGGUGAAGCACUUGGUCAAGCAAAGAAGACUGCAUUUGUCCCCAACUCCCCCAGAAUAUUACUCUGACAUCAAAGAUGCAUGAAGAUAGCUCUGAAAUGGAUCAUUUUAUCCACAAAAUUACAAGACAUUUCCUCACAAUAGGAGGGACUCCAAACAGCCACCCAAGCAGAGGACCCUGGGAUUCACCAGUGUGUCUGCAACACAAAACAAAUCAGAGCUCCAGCUUUCUUCCCUCUCACCUUGUGUCAUCCAUGAAUGAGGGAGUCUUGUGAGGAUGAAGUCAAGGAAGAUAUUCAUAGGCCUCAAGAAGGAAUCCAGAGCCUUUGAACGCUGACUCCUCUUUGCAAGUGUUAAUUUCACCUUGAGCAAGACUCACUUUUACACUGAUCAGUGACACAUGGAACAUCCUGGGCACUUUUCCUCAGACUGUUGUUUAAACUCUAUAGUAGUGGUAACUGUAGAUUAAGGAAGCCACUUUCCCUCUUCUGGAAGGGGAAUGGACUGCCAGUAAGGAGAGUGAAAUUGGCCUGAACUUAUCACUGCAAGGUGAGAUACUGCUC